rnacentral:rRNA from 1 species
GUGUCAGCAGCGCGGUAAUACGAAGGUGGCAAGCGUUGUUCGGAAUCACUGGGCGUAAAGCGCGCGUAGGCGGCCGGGUAAGUCGGAUGUGAAAGGCCUCAGCUCAACUGAGGAACGGCGUCCGAUACUGCUCGGCUUGAGACUCGGAGGGGGGAACGGAAUUCCCGGUGGAGCGGUGAAAUGCGUAGAUAUCGGGAGGAACUCCGGUGGCGAAGGCGGUUCCCUGGACGAGCACUGACGCUGAGGCGCGAAAGCUAGGGGAGCAAACGGGAUUAGAUACCCCGGUAGUCCUAGCCGUAAACGAUGGGCACUAGGCAGAGGUUGUUCCUAUGCAGUCUCUGCCGAAGCUAACGCAUUAAGUGCCCCGCCUGGGGAGUACGGCCGCAAGGCUAAAACUUAAAUGAAUUGACGGGG